rnacentral:tRNA from 4 species
GGGUGUAUAGCUCAGCCGGUAGAGCAUUGGGCUUUUAACCCGAUUGUCGCAGGUUCAACUCCUGCUAUACCCAACCCCC